AUAUAUAUAAUUAGUGUGUGUGCAUGCUACACCUACACUGCAGAAAAUCUUCUCUGCUCUUUGGUUCUGAGGGUGAAAUCAUCUGAACUGCUGCAGCUGUGGAGACACAGAGACAAGAUGGAGACGGAGAAAUGACGUGGAAACAGUUUAAAGCAUGAAAAUAAAAACUUGAGAAUAAAAACUGACUUGCUGGUUUCAGACAGACACCUCUAUCACUUUUUUUCAAUCUGAGAGAGAUUUCCUCACUCCAUCAAAUGAGAGAUGUUGAUUGACAGUGAUGCUGGGUGAGUCAUCAGAUCCAGGAGAAACACAGAGAGACGGGAAACUCUACAGAGAGGAAACACAUAAUAGAGAAGGAGAAAAGUAUAGGAGAGGAACGAAUGAAUCUCAGACUGAAUCAGACCAAACACACACUUGUGAUCUCAGACAGGAACAUUGAUCGUUGCUGUAAUGAGCUUUUAGGAGGAAACUUUGUGAGGAACAGCGCCCACUGUAGAUCAGACAGUGAGUGUUACCUGGAGGAAGUGGAUGUGAUCGUGUGUGUGUGAAAGCUGCUCCAGCUCAGUGACUCUCCUCUUAAGAUCAGCAAUCUCCUGCUCCAGUUGCUUCAGGAGUCGUUCAGCUCGACUCAGUUCAGCUUUCUCCUGAGCUCUGAUCAGUUCCUUCACCUUCGUGCGCUUUUUCUCCAUGGAGCUGAUCAGCUCAGUAAAGGAAAAUCUCUCUGCUCUCGUCUCACCGUAAUAGUGUCCACAGUCUGUCUCAGCUCCUGCACCAUCUUCUGCUUCUCCUGGAUCCUCUGCAGGGAUUUCAUCUGCUCCUCCUUUACCUCAUUCUGAGAUCAAAUCAAAUACAUUUCAUUAUUUCUGCAUCAAAAGCUCAGUGUGUCAAUAAUAACAGCAGCGUAAAAGAGUUAAAGGAAAACUCCACCCUGAAAUAAACUGAAAAUGGACUGUAUAUGUUGAACUAUUUGCUAUGUGUUGAGCAAUUUUGGUGCUAGGUUGUUCACUGUUGAUGUAUUUUCCUGAUUUCUGUGAGACAUUGGCAGUUGUGUGCUGUGUUAACAUCACCAGGGGACAGCGUUUUUGCUUGUGCAGUUACACUGGCGAUGAAUACGGGAAAACGUUUUUAAAGUGACAUUAGCUUAUUCAGUCAAUGUUCGUUGCAAGCAAUACAUCGAUACCAUUUUUCAGACCACGUUAGAGUACAGUAUUAAUGCAGUCUGGUAAAAAUACGACUCCAGCUUAGCCAAAUAUCUUUGUAUGCAGUAGCAUUACAAUUUCCCUUCACUGCACCUGAGAGGCCCAAACCUGUUCCAGCAUGAUAAUGCCACUGUGCACAAAGUGAAGUCCAUGAAGACAUUUGCUACAGUUGGUUUAGAAACACUCAUGUGUCCUGCACAGACCUCUGAGCUCGACCCCAUGGAACACCUUUUGGAUGAACUGGAAAGCCGACUGCAUCCAACAUCAGCGCCUGAUCCCACGAACGCUCUUGUAGCUGAAUGAACACAAAUCCCCACAACCGCACUCUAAAAUCUAGUGGAAAGCCUUCCUAGAAGAGUGAAUAUAUUGUUAUAGCAGCAACGGGAAGGGGACCUACUCCAUAUAAACGCCAUUUGGAAUCAGAUGCGAAACAAUAACAUAUGGGUGUCAAGGUGUCCACAUACUUUCAGCCAUAUGGUGUACAUGCAGUUCACUUGCAUUUCAUGGUGUAUGUUCAUUAGCGCGCCAGCAUACACCAGACUUACACCACAUAUCACCUGGUGUUGGGAUGUUAGGGCAUCCAUCCAUCUUCUAUACCGCUUAUCCUUUUCAGGGUCACAGGGAACCUGGAGCCUAUCCCAGGGAGCAUCGGGCACAAGGCGGGGUACACCCUGGAUAGAGUGCCAAUCCAUCGCAGGGUACAAUCACAUACACAUUCACACACCCGUUCAUACACUACGGACACUUUGGACAUGCUAAUCAUGGGCCACGGAGGAAUCGAACCCCCGACCCUGGAGGUCUGAGGUGAACGUGCUAACCUGAAAUACACAAUGAACCGUUUUACCGUCUCACUUCCUGUCAGAUAAAGUUCUCACUCUUUAUCUUUAGACUAUUCCAGCCAAAUACUGUAACGUCCCAGGAUAUGUAAUAAUAGUGUAUUCAUAUACUGCUCUCUCAAUAUCAGGCACUUUAAAAUGACAAAUAAUAUAAAACACAUUAAUAUAAUAAUAAAAAUAGUUCUGUCACGUGUUCAAUUUAAUAACCUGUAAUAAUAAUAAUAAUAUAAUAAUAAUAGAUAAUAAUAAAAGUUAUUGUAUGGGUGCCGGCCUAGUGAAGUUCACUCAUUAUGGUCAUGAGGAUUAUUUAUAAAACUUCCUUAUCAGCAGACACUUUUAUAAAAUAAAAUAAUGAAAAUGCUCUUCACAGUCUUUCCAUGCAUGCAACACAAUGAAAUGUUACUUUGUGUCAUAUAACUAAAUAAUCCUUAUGGUUCUCACCUGUUUUUCAGUUCUUUCUGCUACAGCUGAAACUGUAUCAUGGCCUUGAUGUUGAUCCAUCGUACACAAGUAACAGAUGAAGCUUUGGUCAGUACGACAGUAGAUCUCGAGCAGUUUGUCAUGUCGAGAGCAGAUCUUCUCCUGGAGCUCUGCACAGGCUUCAACUAACUUGUGCUUCUUAAAGGCAGGAGCCUGAAAGAAUCACACUCCACAUCUCCAGGUCCAGCGUAACAGUGAGCAGAAGCUUGGAGUUCAGUCUCCUUCAGUUUCUCCACCACUUCAACCAGUAUGUUGUUCCUGCCUAGAACAGGCCUUGGAGUGAAAGUCUCUCUACACUGGGGACAGCUGUAGAUCCUCCUCAGAUCUUCUUGAUCCCAGAAGCGAUUAAUACACACCUUGCAGAAACUGUGUCCACAGGGAGUAGUCACCGGAUGCUUCAGGAGAUCCAGACACACUGGACAGAUGAACUGAACCACCGACAACUGAUCUACUGAAAUACUGGCCAUUUUCCUGCAAGAGAGACGGAGAGAGAGAAACAAACAAAGCACGUCUCCUACUUCUUUGAUGUUUUUAACAGCUCGUGAUGCUUUACCACCACCUAGUGGACUGGAGUAUGGAGUGCAAACUUUAGUAAAUCGCACUUUCUUUAAUCCACUUAUUUGUAAAUUCCACAUUAUUUCAAAAACUAAAACACAUUUUGUCAAUGACACCCAGACUACAAUUUUAUGUUAAUUUCCCCCUUUAGAUUGUAAUUGCUGAGUCCAUCUGAGGUCAGUGAUGCUAGCAGACCUUCCAUGUGUGUUUUAGCAUUGCAAUGCAGUAGUAGUACAUGUUCAUGUGUUUCCCUAUUGUUACAGUGUCAACAAAUUCCUGAACUGUGCCCUUUUAUUAGUUGCAGUGAAUAAAUGAACAGGGAGUGCCCUCUAUUCCUCUAUGCCAUCUUAUCUACAAUUUAAUUUCCUUUUAACGCUCACAUGUUCUAGAAUCCCAGAGGAAACUAGCUUGAUGUUUGAGCCUAUACAGAUUUGGAAAGAUCUUGUCUACUUUCAGACUCUCUUGACUGGAUGCUCUCAAUCUCACAUAUGGCUACUUGUACCAGACAUAUGUCUGGUACAAGACAUAUGUCUUGUAUCAACUCAACCCACUGUAGAGAUUAUUAUUAUGAGUUCUGUUGUGAACAGUGGUAUUUUAUUAGGUAAUAGCUUCUGGAUGAAUGCUUUAAAUUCAGGUAUGCUAUAUACAGCGGCUGCUGUAAUUCCUUUAGUUGGCCAUUUUGAACAUGAGUGUAAAUAUUCAAGGAACUGAAAUAGUAUUGAGACUGCCUUUUCUCUUAUGUAGUCUUUACUUGACAGCUUUUCAUGCAUUGUCAGGUCAAAAGGCAAAGGAAAACGCCAGGCUGAAAUUAAAUGUUUGUAAUAAAAAAUAUUAAAUAAAGUGUUCAUAAAAUGUG